rnacentral:rRNA from 1 species
AACGAACGCUGGCGGCAUGCCUAACACAUGCAAGUCGAACGAGACCUUCGGGUCUAGUGGCGCACGGGUGCGUAACGCGUGGGAAUCUGCCCUUGGGUUCGGAAUAACAGUGAGAAAUUACUGCUAAUACCGGAUGAUGUCUUCGGACCAAAGGUUUAUCGCCCAGGGAUGAGCCCGCGUAGGAUUAGCUAGUUGGUGGGGUAAUGGCCUACCAAGGCGACGAUCCUUAGCUGGUCUGAGAGGAUGAUCAGCCACACUGGGACUGAGACACGGCCCAGACUCCUACGGGAGGCAGCAGUGGGGAAUAUUGGACAAUGGGCGCAAGCCUGAUCCAGCAAUGCCGCGUGAGUGAUGAAGGCCUUAGGGUUGUAAAGCUCUUUUACCCGGGAUGAUAAUGACAGUACCGGGAGAAUAAGCUCCGGCUAACUCCGUG